AUUGAAAUUAAUAAUGUUCAUGACCAUUCUUUCUAUGUUUAAUCAUUCACCUCUUCUUUUGUUAUUAAAAAGCGCAAUUCAGGGACAACCUCUGAAGAACUUUGGAGGCUGUUUCAAACCUGGGGCCACCAUUGCAUUUGUAAUAGAGCUUAUUUCAUUUACCAUAGGAAAAAAAAUGAAAGCUCUUUUCCUGCUUUUUGGUACCAUAAAUUAGCCUUCUGUAGCCCGAUGCCUUCUGGAGGUAUUGGACUAUAUCACCAUCAUUCUAUUCCAGGGGAUGGGAGUUGUAGUCCAACAUACUUGGAGGACAUCUGGUGGCCAAAAGUUAUUCUACAGAUGUGUUACUAUCCAUUUCCAAGUUAAGUGACUCAAUCAGUACAAUCAUUGUAGCAUCAAUCCACCAAAACCUAUUUACUGUGUUGCCCUUUGGUUGCAAUGGAUGUAAUGGUAUGUGAAAAUGCCCCUGGGAGAUGGAGCGAAAAGAUGCCACCUGGAUACAACUCGCAGCUGCUUAAUGGGCAGAGAAAGAAACCCAGAAAGGAACACCCCUAAUUUAACAGACAGUAAAAGAGACAGUAAAAAGUUUCUACUGUCAGACUUGCAAGAUUCUUUUAAUGCAGCUUUACAAUUAAGUAGAAUUAGCUCAUCUGGUCAGUUUCCUGUCUAAUCUACCUGGGAAGGCAGACAUGGGGCUUCUGCAGUUCAGAAUUCCUGGAAGUCUCAGAGACAGGAAUGGCAGCUGUAGGUUUCAUAGAACAUGAUCACAAGUUCUGGGAGACACCUUCUGUGUGUCUGGGAUCAGAAAAGAAAAAUUACUUUGGUUCCAAACUUAAUAUUUUAAUGACUGAAGUUCUGCUGCAUGUGAGCUUUAUACCGAAAGCAUGAUGUAAAAUUGUUUUACUUAAAAAAAAACUUGAAAUAUGUGUUUAUUUAUUUUGAAUUAUAUAGUAAAGAUAAUAUUUAUUUAAAGAAUAUUUAGGAUGAUUUUUAAAUGUUGGCAGCAAGAUAUAAAAAGAAAAAAAAGAGAAAUGCUGUGUAAGAGAAGAGCGAUACAAGGAAGUUUUUUAAACAAAAGCAAACAAGACAAAGCAAAUAGAGACAUAAAUCAGGAUUACAGAGAAAGUAGCAUUUUGAUUUGUUCCCUAGAUAUGUUAUGACUGCUUUCCUAAAACCAGAACUAACCAAGAAGGACCACAGCAAGCGGCAAUAAAUAUAAUGGUAUAUUAAGAUACAUGGACAUCAAGUUCCAGAAUCCCCCAGUCUGCAUAUUGAAGGAAGUUGAAGUCAACACAUCUUACAGUUGACAAAAUUGAGAUAAACUGAGGAUUAUGCUGUAGUUGUGGAGGAGAGAUGUGCAAUCCCAAGAAAACACUCAGCUGCUUCAACAGUUGCUGGGGUGUUACAGGAGCAGCCCUGCCCAUUCUGAAGUACUUUUUUGCCUCUGAAACGGAAGCCUAGCACAUCUUUACUAGACAUGGCUUGUUCCAAAUGUAUGGAAUUACAAAUUGGAAACCCUGAGAGUUGUAACUCCAGUGCUUUUGCAGUCUCAAAGCAGGCCAAAAUCAGAAAAAUAAGAUACAUUAAAUACAAGAUAACUUUAAGCCACUCAGGAGUUUUAGAAUUGGACAGUCUGGAAAUUUGAAAUAUAUAAAGAAACAAAGAUAGGAUAAUGUGGACUCCAGAUUCUAGAUUCCAUUUUCCCAGAGAGCUUAAUCAAACACAAUUAAUAUACUUACUUCCCACAUAUUUCAUGAUUUCCAUUUUCUUCUGCAUUACAAUUGCAAUGUUGUAGCAACAUUAAUAGGCACCUGCAUAUUACAUACCAGGCUUUGAAGAGUCAUGUAUGACCUUCAAUUCUUUGUCUCUAUCUACUGGAGCUAACAGCUAGCAAUUCUUCAGGAUCUCUGGCAGAUGACUUGUCAACACUUGCUUAUUUCUAAUUGAAUUUAUUUCUAAUUCAAAGUGUCAGUGACUUGGACAUUAGAUUUUCUGAGUGUGAAAGACACCAUUAAAUACUCAGUGUAUUAAGGUUCCUUCUCCUUUAGGCUGGCACUAACGAAAAUGCAUUAUAAG